rnacentral:rRNA from 1 species
GGCUCAGGACGAACGCUGGCGGCACGCUUAACACAUGCAAGUCGAACGGAGAUAAUUUGAGUUUACUUGGAUUAUCUUAGUGGCGGACGGGUGAGUAACACGUGAGCAACCUGCCUUUGAGAGAGGGAUAGCUUCUGGAAACGGAUGGUAAUACCUCAUGACAUAAUUGAAGGGCAUCCUUUGAUUAUCAAAGAUUUAUCACUCAAAGAUGGGCUCGCGUCUGAUUAGAUAGUUGGUGAGGUAACGGCUCACCAAGUCGACGAUCAGUAGCCGGACUGAGAGGUUGAACGGCCACAUUGGGACUGAGACACGGCCCAGACUCCUACGGGAGGCAGCAGUGGGGAAUAUUGCACAAUGGGGGAAACCCUGAUGCAGCGAUGCCGCGUGGAGGAAGAAGGUUUUCGGAUUGUAAACUCCUGUCUUAAAGGACGAUAAUGACGGUACUUUAGGAGGAAGCUCCGGCUAACUACGUGCCAGCAGCCGCGGUAAUACGUAGGGAGCGAGCGUUGUCCGGAAUUACUGGGUGUAAAGGGAGCGUAGGCGGGAUUGCAAGUCAGAUGUGAAAUACAUGGGCUCAACCCAUGGGCUGCAUUUGAAACUGUAGUUCUUGAGUGAAGUAGAGGUAAGCGGAAUUCCUGGUGUAGCGGUGAAAUGCGUAGAUCUCAGGAAAAACACCGGUGGCGAAGGCGGCUUACUGGGCUUUUACUGACGCUGAGGCUCGAAAGCGUGGGGAGCCCCCCAAAAGUUAGAUACCCCUGGUAGUCCACGCGGUAAACGACCCCUAAUAGAUGUCGGGAAGCAAAGCUUCUCGGUGUCGUCGCAAACGCCAGAAGUAUUCCACGUGGAGAGUACGUUCGCCAGAAUGAAACUCGAAGGAAUUGAGGGGGACCCGCCCAAGCGGUGGAGCAUGUGGUGUAUUCGAAGCAACGCGAGGAGCCUUCCCUGCUCUUGACAUCCCAUUCAAUAGAGGGUAAUGCCUCUAACCCUUCGGGGGAAUGGAGACAGAUGGUGCAUGGUAGUGGUCAGCUCGUGUCGUGAGAUGUUGGGUUAAGUCCCGCAACGAGCGCAACCCUUAUUGUCAGUAGCCAGCAGUUAGGCUGGGCACUCUGAUGAGACUGCCGGGGAUAACCUGGAGGAAGGCGGGGAUGACGUCAAAUCAUCAUGCCCCUUAUGAUUUGGGCUACACACGUGCUACAAUGGCGUAAACAAAGGGAAGCGAACCUGUGAAGGCGAGCAAAUCCCAAAAAUAACGUCCCAGUUCGGACUGCAGUCUGCAACUCGACUGCACGAAG